rnacentral:rRNA from 1 species
CCUACGGGAGGCAGCAGUGAGGAAUAUUGGUCAAUGGGCGGAAGCCUGAACCAGCCAAGUAGCGUGCAGGAUGACUGCCCUACGGGUUGUAAACUUCUUUUAUACGGGAAUAAAGCGCAUUACGUGUAGGGCUUUGCAUGUACCGUAUGAAUAAGGAUCGGCUAAUUCCGUGCCAGCAGCCGCGGUAAUACGGAGGGUCCGGGCGUUAUCCGGAUUUAUUGGGUUUAAAGGGAGCGUAGGCCGGAUGUUAAGCAAGUUGUGAAAGGUUGGGGCUCAACCCUAAGCUUGCAGGUCAUACUGGCAUGCUUGAGUACAGAGGAGGUAGGCGGAAUUCGUGGUGUAGCGGUGAAAUGCUUAGAUAUGACGAAGAACACCGAUUGCGAAGGCAGCUUGCUGGAGUGGAACUGACGCUGAUGCUCGAAAGCGUGGGUAUCGAACAGGAUUAGAUACCCGAGUAGUC